AUGCUCACUUUGACAGCACAUAUACUAAAACUGGAAUGAUACAGAGAAGAUUAGCAUGUGCCCUGAGCAAGGAUGACAUAAACUUGUGAAGCUUAAAAAGAUAAU
ensembl:snRNA U6 U6 spliceosomal RNA